rnacentral:rRNA from 1 species
GUACACUCCUGCGGGAGGCAGCAGUGGGGAAUUUUGGACAAUGGGCGAAAGCCUGAUCCAGCAAUGCCGCGUGAGUGAAGAAGGCCUUCGGGUUGUAAAGCUCUUUUGUCAGGGAAGAAACGGUGAAAGCUAAUAUCUUUUGCUAAUGACGGUACCUGAAGAAUAAGCACCGGCUAACUACGUGCCAGCAGCCGCGGUAAUACGUAGGGUGCAAGCGUUAAUCGGAAUUACUGGGCGUAAAGCGUGCGCAGGCGGUUUUGUAAGUCUGAUGUGAAAUCCCCGGGCUCAACCUGGGAUUGCAUUGGAGACUGCAAGGCUAGAAUCUGGCAGAGGGGGGUAGAAUUCCACGUGUAGCAGUGAAAUGCGUAGAUAUGUGGAGGAACACCGAUGGCGAAGGCAGCCCCCUGGGUCAAGAUUGACGCUCAUGCACGAAAGCGUGGGGAGCAAACAGGAUUAGAUACCCGAGUAGUCCCAUG